rnacentral:tRNA from 1 species
GGGGAAGUGGUUUAGGGUAUAACGUUUCAUUCGCAUUGAAAGCCCCGGGUUCGAUUCCCGGCUUCUCCA